CCUACGGGAGGCAGCAGUGGGGAAUAUUGGGCAAUGGGCGCAAGCCUGACCCAGCAACGCCGCGUGAAGGAAGAAGGCUUUCGGGUUGUAAACUUCCUUUAAGAGGGAAGAGCAGAAGACGGUACCUCUUGAAUAAGCCACGGCUAACUACGUGCCAGCAGGCGCGGUAAUACGUAGGUGGCAAGCGUAGUCCGGAUUUACUGGGUGUAAAGGGCGUGUAGCCGGGCUGACAAGUCAGAUGUGAAAUUCCGGGGCUGAACCCCGGACCUGCAUUUGAAACUGUUGGUCUUGAGUAUCGGAGAGGCAGGCGGAAUGCGUAGUGUAGCGGUGAAAUGCGUAGAUAGUAGGAGGAACACCAGUGGCGAAGGCGGCCUGCUGGACGACAACUGACGGUGAGGCGCGAAAGCGUGGGGAGCAAACAGGAUUAGAUACCCCAGUAGUC
rnacentral:rRNA from 1 species